rnacentral:rRNA from 1 species
GACGAACGCUGGCGGCGUGCUUAACACAUGCAAGUCGAACGAAGAGCGAUGGAAGCUUGCUUCUAUCAAUCUUAGUGGCGAACGGGUGAGUAACGCGUAAUCAACCUGCCCUUCAGAGGGGGACAACAGUUGGAAACGACUGCUAAUACCGCAUACGAUCUAAUCUCGGCAUCGAGGAUAGAUGAAAGGUGGCCUCUACAUGUAAGCUAUCACUGAAGGAGGGGAUUGCGUCUGAUUAGCUAGUUGGAGGGGUAACGGCCCACCAAGGCGGUGAUCAGUAGCCGGUCUGAGAGGAUGAACGGCCACAUUGGGACUGAGACACGGCCCAGACUCCUACGGGAGGCAGCAGUGGGGAAUCUUCCGCAAUGGACGAAAGUCUGACGGAGCAACGCCGCGUGAGUGAUGACGGCCUUCGGGUUGUAAAGCUCUGUUAAUCGGGACGAAAGGCCUUCUUGCGAAUAGUGAGAAGGAUUGACGGUACCGGAAUAGAAAGCCACGGCUAACUACGUG